rnacentral:rRNA from 1 species
GACGAACGCUGGCGGCGUGCCUAAUACAUGCAAGUCGAACGGACAAAGAGGAGCUUGCUCCUCGAUGUUAGCGGCGGACGGGUGAGUAACACGUGGGCAACCUGCCUGUAAGACUGGGAUAACUUCGGGAAACCGGAGCUAAUACCGGAUAAUGCUUUUGAACUCAUGUUCGAAAGCUGAAAGAUGGUUUCGGCUAUCACUUACAGAUGGGCCCGCGGCGCAUUAGCUAGUUGGUGAGGUAACGGCUCACCAAGGCAACGAUGCGUAGCCGACCUGGGAGGGUGAUCGGCCACACUGGGACUGAGACACGGCCCAGACCCCUACGGGAGGCAGCAGUAGGGAAUCUUCUGCAAUGGACGAAAGUCUGACGGAGCAACGCCGCGUGAGUGAUGAAGGUUUUCGGAUCGUAAAACUCUGUUGUUAGGGAAGAACAAGUACCGGAGUAACUGCCGGUACCUUGACGGUACCUAACCAGAAAGCCACGGCUAACUACGUG